rnacentral:ncRNA from 2 species
CCUUAGCUUGCCGGCGACGGUUCCUCACCCGAGGAUCAAAAGGGAACGCGGUGCGGCGAUCAUUCGCCAAUGCCGCGGCUGCCCCCGCAACUGUAAGCGGAGAGCCUUCCACACCAACAGCCACUGGCGCGGCCUCGCGCCGGGAAGGCCGUGGAAGGCGACGACCCGCAAGCCAGGAGACCUGCCGUCACAGUUUGAUUCCC